AGCUCAUAGGUCUCAAGUACUGCAUGUAGUAUGGUGAGAAAUUCAAAGAGCACAGAACCAUGAUCUCAACCCUGCAGGAGCUGAAAACCUCCUUGAAAAGACAUGUUCCUGCUUCUGAAACAACCGAACAGCACUUCGACUUGCAGCUGGUGGCACAGCCAGGUCCUGAACAAACUAAGGAAUUGGCCCAACAUCCCCCUACCUCCCAGUUGUGCCGAUGAAGCUCUGGGACAAGUGGUUCACCCUCACAACCAAGCAGCACUGAUCUGGCUUUUGCAAAACCACGGCCCCAUCCCAUGUAUGCAAGGGCUGUGCUGAUGGCCAGACACUCAGCCACCCAGCACAUCCCCAUCUGAGAACAUCUAAGUACUGGGAAGGCAAGGGCCUUCCCCACAGUAGUGGGAGAGAACACUGAGCUGUGGAGAGAUGGGUGAUUUGUGAAGCCACACAUCACACUCCACUCUUUCUUGAUAGAGCAGGACCAGCUGGCCGGGCAUGGUGGCUCAUGCCUAUAAUCCCAGCAUUUUGGGAGGCCGAGGCGGGUGGAUCAUGAGGUUUUUUUGUUUUUGAACAAACAAAACAGAAUUUUAAAAAAACAGCCCACACACAAAUACUUGUUAGAAAUCUCACCCUUGACUUAUCACUUGGAAUAAAAGCAAUCGUUUAUCCUGG
rnacentral:lncRNA from 1 species